rnacentral:rRNA from 1 species
AGCAACACGUGGAUAACCUACCUAUAAGACUGGGAUAACUUCGGGAAACCGGAGCUAAUACCGGAUAAUAUUUUGAACCGCAUGGUUCAAAAGUAAAAGACGGUCUUGCUGUCACUUAUAGAUGGAUCCGCGCUGCAUUAGCUAGUUGGUGAGGUAACGGCUUACCAAGGCAACGAUGCAUAGCCGACCUGAGAGGGUGAUCGGCCACACUGGAACUGAGACACGGUCCAG